AAGGUCCGGGCGUUAUCCGGACUUAUUGGGUUUAAAGGGAGCGUAGACGGCAAGGCAAGUCUGGAGUGAAAGCCCGGGGCCCAACCCCGGGACUGCUCUGGAAACUGUGGUGCUAGAGUGCAGGAGGGGUGGGCGGAAUUCCUAGUGUAGCGGUGAAAUGCGUAGAUAUUAGGAGGAACACCAGCGGCGAAGGCGGCCCACUGGACUGCGACUGACGUUGAGGCUCGAAGGCGUGGGGAGCAA
rnacentral:rRNA from 1 species